UUACUUGUCCAAAAUCUUUAAUUUUCUCCUGUGUGACAGUAACCAAUGGUGUCAUGGCUGUCUCCCCUGAGCGAGCGAGGUGUGCUGUGGUCCUGGCUGGACCUCCUCUCCUCCUCAUUAUCUGUGUCCUGUGGAUCCUGUGCUCAGACUCAGUGGAUGCUCAAGGGCAAGACAGCUUGGAAGACAGGCUUCAUUUGAGAGGAGGGAGAUGGAGGACAAGAGAGAUUGAAGGAGGAAGUGAAGCUUCUCUAAUGGACUGCACAUCUGCCGAGAGCCGUCCUUCCAUGCUGACUGCAAAAAAUUUAAACAAAAAAAACCCUACAUCGUCCCCCCCAGGUCAUUAG
rnacentral:lncRNA from 1 species